UACGUAGGGUGCGAGCGUUGUCCGGAAUUAUUGGGCGUAAAGAGCUUGUAGGCGGUUUGUCGCGUCUGCUGUGAAAUUUCGGGGCUCAACCCUGGACCUGCAGUGGGUACGGGCAGACUAGAGUGCGGUAGGGGGAGAUCGGAAUUCCUGGUGUAGCGGUGAAAUGCGCAGAUAUCAGGAGGAACACCGGUGGCGAAGGCGGAUCUCUGGGCCGUAACUGACGCUGAGGAGCGAAAGCAUGGGGAGCGAACAGG
rnacentral:rRNA from 1 species